UUGGUGUUCAUGAAAUUUCUCAGGUGUUCUUUGUCAUGGAAGUAUCUAAUUUCCCCAUCAAUUUUGAAAGAUAAUUUUGCAGGAUACAACAGUCUAGGUUGGAAGUUAUUUUCUUUUAGGGCUUGAAAUACUUCACUCGGGGCUCUCCUUGACUUGAGGGUUUGUGUUGAGAAGUCUGCUGUGAUUCUGAUGGGCUUUCCUUUAGAGGAUGUGGUGAAACUGGACUUGAUGUGCACCCAUGUGACUCUCUUCUGGGACCCCACACCCUCCUCGCUACAGAAUACAGGGUAUAAAGGAGCUCCAAACACUACCACAUCUCACAAGAGUCCCACAGGUCCCCGCGCAGACAGCAAUGACUGCACUGCCGAUGAAGC
rnacentral:lncRNA from 1 species